GUUUGAGAAAAUAUUAUGCCAAAGACAGUAAGGGCAGUAAUGCUUGAAAAUCUUACCGAGGAAUAAGAAAUGUUCUUUUUAUCCCUCGAUGUAGAGGGAUUUUAUUUUGGUAU
rfam:Firmicutes bacterium CAG:321 genomic scaffold, scf2